UGGUGCGGGAGGGACGUUUGCGCGGCGCCUGGCCUGGGCCCCCGCCAAGUGCGCGCCCGGCGCUGCCUGCUGCUGGGGGCCGGCGGGUUAAUCUGUAACUCCCCACACCCCUGGGCCUCCGCGCCGGCCGACUCCCACCCGGGUUAGGAAGCAGAAGGUGCAGGCUCGGGGGGCAGAGAGGAGCCGGGCCUGAUCCAGGACGGGCUGAUCCAGGACGAGUGAUGCAGCUGGAGGCCAAAGACGUGGUCCUUCCCGGGCCAGCCGACCCUGGACAGAGGCUACACUGUACUGUGGUCUACCCCUGGCUCCAGGGCUUGGACUGGGGCCUGUCAGCCGAGGUCUACCAGGACCCUGGCUCACAGAAGCCCUGGAGAGGGUCGCAGCGCAGGGAAGGCAGGUCCCACCUCCAGUCGCAGCGCGGCCUGGAGAUCUCAGGCAGUUAGCUUAACUUCUCUGAGCCUCUAUCUCCUCCUUUGCAAAACAGCUUGUCUCCCCAGCUGACCAUGCUGCUGGAAUGUAUGCCUGCCCUGUGAUGCCAGCCCAGAGACAAAAAGGCCUGACCCUCAGCAGCUGGAGAUGCACUUGAAGUCUACUCCUCACUCCACCCCACCCCCACGCCCCAGGUAACGUGGGUGUGCCUGCCGUGGCAUCGAUGGCCCGCCGCUCUAGGGGCUGCUCCGGAGCCUUGCAGCUGGCCCCAGGUCCCCAUCUGGCCAGCAGAGGGGGCAGAAGGACUGCUCUGAUAUUCUGGACAGCCACACCUGGAAGCGAACGAUUCCUGGCCAAAAUGGACACAGAAGACUGGGGACUGUGGUCUUUCUGGGGGCUCAGAGGAGAGCAAACAGGUGGGGUCUUACGCUCGCUGCGUGGGAUCCGGAGAGUCACAAGAGAUGAACGGGCAUACUGCUUGGCAGGGGCCAGGCAGGGGACUCUAGAGCUUAUCACUUUCUAUAAGUGGAGUCCCACUCCUGAGUAAGCAGGAUUUGGGGUACUAGAGCAGCCCAGGAAACCUGUCCAAGAUGAGCACAGCCCACCUCUGGUUCCAGCACCCCCACCCCCAACUUCAGCUUUCUGCAGCAAUGGAGUACAAAGAUUGUUCUUUUUGUUUCCUUUUUCCUUUGAAUGUAUUUUUAAUUACAAAAAUAGAACUUGAUUGUUGUACACAGA